UGGGGAAUCUUGCACAAUGGGCGAAAGCCUGAUGCAGCAACGCCGCGUGCGGGAAGAAGGCCCUAGGGUUGUAAACCGCUUUCAGUAGGGAAGAAAAUGACGGUACCUACAGAAGAAGGUGCGGCCAACUACGUGCCAGCAGCCGCGGUGACACGUAGGCACCAAGCGUUAUCCGGAUUUAUUGGGCGUAAAGAGCUCGUAGGCGGUUUGGUAAGUCGGGUGUGAAAACUCUGGGCUCAACCCAGAGACGCCACCCGAUACUGCUAUGACUAGAGUACGGUAGGGGAGCAGGGAAUUCAUGGUGUAGCGGUGAAAUGCGCAGAUAUCAUGAGGAACACCAGCGGCGAAGGCGCCGCUCUGGGCCGUAACUGACGCUGAGGAGCGAAAGCAUGGGUAGCAAACAGG
rnacentral:rRNA from 1 species